rnacentral:rRNA from 1 species
GUGCCAGCCGCCGCGGUAAUACGGGGGGUGCAAGCGUUGUUCGAAAUUAUUGGGCGUAAAGAGCGUGUAGGCGGUUUGUUAAGUCUGAUGUGAAAGCCCUGGGCUCAACCCAGGAAGUGCAUUGGAAACUGGCAGACUUGAAUACGGGAGAGGGCAGUGGAAUUCCUAGUGUAGGAGUGAAAUCCGUAGAUAUUAGGAGGAACACCGGUGGCGAAGGCGGCUGCCUGGACCGAUAUUGACGCUGAGACGCGAAAGCGUGGGUAGCAAACAGGAUUAGAUACCCUGGUAGUCCACGCCGUAAACGAUGAGAACUAGGUGUUGCGGGUAUUGACCCCUGCAGUGCCGCAGCUAACGCAUUAAGUUCUCCGCCUGGGAAGUACGGUCGCAAGACUAAAACUCAAAGGAAUUGACGGGGGCCCGCACAAGCGGUGGAGCAUGUGG